UUAUAGUCCAUCAUAGACAGAUAACAGAACGUGUGUGUGUUAAAUCAAACCAUGGGGUGGGGAGGAAUGAGGAGACAAAUGAAGAGCGUGGGAGGAAAACUCUUGGAAGACUUGUCCUAGUGUGUAAUGAUCAGAGAGGGGCACGAUCAAGUCGUCUGAGCCCAGGCCUGGGUACCAGAAACUCCCCUGCUUCGAAUCUUGGCUCUGAUGCAGAUUUUCUCUGUGACUUUGGCCAGGGUCCGCACCUGAACUUUGAGGGAGUCAGCAGCUGGCAAGAGCAGACACACAGCUUGAGCAGUCCAAGAGGGACCAGGAAGACACAAAUCAGUGUUAUUUGAGUAACAAAAUAAGAGGUAUGUUUAACUAUUUGGGAGCAUGUGGGUUUUUUGUUUUGUGUUUUUUUUUUUGGGCGGGGGGGAGAUUGUUAGGGACUAAGCAUUCAUGAGGAAGAUUUAAGGUAAGAUUUCUAAAAUGAAGUACGGAAAUUAGUCUCUUUAUUCCUGCCUGAGGAAGUUCUUUAUCCAUUUUAUGAGCGGUACUUUGUUGUGACAUUACAUUUACAACGAAGGGGAAACCAGCCUUUAGUUCAGUCUGAUCCUGGGUUUCUUCAUCAAUCAUGCACUUUAUGAAUCCACUAAUGUUAAAUAAUAAACAGAUCCAGGGCCUGAUUUUCAAAGGGUCUUGAGCCAUCACAGCUUCCAUUAAAGUCAAUGAGAGCAACUGGUGCUCAGCAUUUCAGAGUUGCACCAUAAGCACUUUUUACAGAUCUUGUCAGAGGAUCUCAAAGCCCAGCUAUUUCAGACUCCUCUCGAGAGCCACUUUUGCUCAAGAUUAGAGUUAAUUCUCUGCACCCUGAAGUCUUUAAACCACGAUCUAAGGACUUCAAUAGCUCAGACAUAAGUUAGGGGAGUUACAGGAGUUGGUGGGUGAGAUUCCGUGGCCUGCUCUGGGCAGGAGGUCAGACUAGACAAUCAUAACGGUCCUUUCUGACCUUAAAGUCUAUGAUUCUAUGAUAAUGAAAAGACUCAAUAACUGACAGCACAGUAAAAUAAAGGUUAGCUGAGCUAACUGUUGAACUCCUGACAAUAGUUAGGGUGGCUGACCUACUGUUAUUCAUGUGAGCUGAAGGACAGCCCAUUAAGUGGGGUGGCCUGACCUGAUGACUAGACCACAGCUGGCUGAAUUAAGGUCAUAGCCUGAGGCAUUUCCAAAUGUGGUUCACUUGGUUGUAAAAUAUCCGCAGGUCAUUUUGUUCACUUGUCUAUGCAGAGCAGUUGUGCACUUGCAAGCACAUCCCUGUGCACAGUUUUUGCAGGCAGGACACAGUACACCCGACAGUGGCCGAGCAGUUCAGUGGCAGAGGACAGAUGGCUGGGUCACAAGCUCCUGCAAUGCAUGCCAGACUCCCCAGUGGCUGAGGGAAGGGACCUGGGUCCAAGCCUUUGGCCACCUGGGUUAUUGCAACGUCAGGCCUUGGAAGAGAGGAUGGGGAGGUUAAUUUCCUUCCUGGAAAAUAAGUCAGCAGUGCAGGAAUUGCAUCCUUUAGGGGAGUAUUAAAGGUACAUGGAGACUUUCACCACCAUGUCUUGAGUUUUGGUCCAACAUAUAGAAUAAUGGAAGUGUGCAUUUCAUUGCUUGAGUCAUUCGAUACUGGACAAAGCACUGGAGACUAGACAGUAAAGAUACUCAUACAUCAGAGGCAGGAGAAUGAAAGACAACCGAGUCAGUCUUUUCCAUCUCUGACUUUUAAGAGUGGUAUUUCUCAUUCUCCCUCACAUCAGGCUACUUUAACUCACUUACAUGAUCACCUGUUUUAAUCACACCAUAUCAUCUACAGGUGAAGUUUUCAAAGGGGCCUCUCUACCCAACCUCCAUUUCUAUGUGAACAUUUUAUGCACAAAAGGCUCCUUUUCUACGUUUCAAAUCACUGCACAUAAGCCCCGCAAUGCCAACAGGGAAAGGCAGGAAACCAUCAGAUGUAGCAAUGUCCAAAGAUCAAUUCCAAAGAAUGCUUUCACCAUACUGUGUAGUUAUUUCUAAAAUGGACACUCGGCAUUGUGACGUUUUGUGUUUAAGAUUUUUUUUUUUCCCAAGUUCCAUGAAGGAGAGUUUCACUUAUCAGUGGCUUAUCUUAGUACCCUAGCUAGCACCAAGUGUUAUCUGGGUCAGUAUCUAGCAGAAGCAGGGAUGUCCAGAUUUGCCUACUACAUAGUCAUAUAUUAGGAAAUCUAACAGCCUGAAGGUCAUGUCCUAAAACAAAGAUUUCUCUUAACCUUCAGCCCCACAGGUCCCAGCAUCAGCCCAGCACUAAAGGCUUUGCACUUUACGGCCCCUUCUAUCAAGGAACUCUCAGUGCAGAAAUAAUUUUGCCUCUCAAUACCCAUAUCCAGGAAUAUGUUUUACAGAUUAGGAAGUCAAGAGAGUGGUUAAGUGACUUUGCUCAAGGUGACAAAGUAUCAGGAUGAGAAACAGAAUCCAGGCCUCUCCCCCUUGCUUUGAUCACAAGACCAAGAUCAUCCUUCCACCCCAGCAUGCAACGUUUGAACAAGGUGCUCAAGGUGGAGCAUAGCAUACCGACUCCCACAGUCUACACGAGCACCACUUCAGUGUUGAAGGAACAAUUUUUUUUAAAUCACUUCUCUCUGAAGUGUUAUUGUUACAGCCCCAAGAUUAGAGAAAAAAAAUAGUUAGAGAAAUCAAUCAUCAUUAGAGAAAAAAUCAGCUCAUCAGUUGAGCAUUUAACAGCAGCAAGGAUUGUUUCCCUUGGAGUGUCUUUCACACCAAAAGAGAAAAGAACAAAAUAGUAGAAUAGAACCAUAAAAACCAGCAACAGGACUGAGACACAUGCACAGAGCCAUGGCUCCUGAAGCCAAACAAACAAUCCCUAGAAUUGAAGUUUUCACUUUAAAAAGUUGUAUUUCAGACCUUGUGGUUGCAAAAUAAAAGCCUGAAAUGUAAGCCAAGCGUAACCAUGGCAGUGGUGUCUGCAGACAGCCUGAAGAAAAGGUUCUAAAGAGGUGUUAACCUCCUCAUUUAUUCCAAUGGGGUGUUAACUUUGAAAGCCCUACUGCUCUGGGAGGGGCCCCUACACACUGAGAAUUGUGCGUUACCCUUGCU